rnacentral:rRNA from 1 species
GGUUAAGUUAUCAAGGGCGCACGGUGAAUGCCUUGGCACUAGGAGCCGAUGAAGGACGGGACGAACACCGAUAUGCUUCGGGGAGCUGUAAGCAAGCUUUGAUCCGGAGAUUUCCGAAUGGGGAAACCCACUGCUCGUAAUGGAGCAGUAUCCAUAUCUGAAUUCAUAGGAUAUGAGAAGGCAGACCCGGGGAACUGAAACAUCUAAGUACCCGGAGGAAGAGAAAGCAAACGCGCUUCCCUGAGUAGCGGCGAGCGAAACGGGAACAGCCCAAACCAAGAGGCUUGCCUCUUGGGGUUGUAGGACACUCUGUACGGAGUUACAAAAGAACGAGGUAGAUGAAGAGGUCUGGAAAGGCCCGCGAUAGAGGUAAAAGCCCUGUAGCCUAAACUGUGUUCUCUCCGAGACGGAUCCCGAGUAGUGCGGGGCACGUGAAACCCCGUAUGAAUCCAGCAGGACCAUCUGCUAAGGCUAAAUACUACCUGGCGACCGAUAGUGAAACAGUAC